UGCAACAUAUUCCGUGGUGUAUCUGUACAGCAGUUUCCUCAUUCCUGCAGCUGUGUUUGAACAGGUCAUUUACCAUGCGGUCCUCCAGGUUCAACAGUAUGGCUCCAAAUGAUGAAAUUUCAUUCUGAUUUUCUGGCUGAAGACUAUUCUGUUUGUGUAUGUCCACCACAGUUACUUUAUCCCUUCAUCUGUGGAUGGGCAGUUGGUUGGCAGAGAAUUUGAACUGGAGAUGAACUUUAUUAUCCAGGAUGCUGAGAGUAUAACAUGCAUGACAGAGCUUUUAGAGCACUGUGAUGUAACAUGUCAAGCAGAAAUAGGGAGCAUGUUUACAGCCAUUCUAUGAAAAAGUGUUCGGAAUGUACAGACUAGCACAGAAGCUGGACUAAUUGAACAAGUAUUGCUGAAAAUGAGUGCUGUAGAUGACAUGAUAGCAGUGGUACAUGAUCAGCAUUGUCCACAUUUACAAUCGAUGGAGAAACAGUGAAAUUCAGUGUUAUGUUAAUGGACAACUGGUAUCUUAUGGUGAUAUGGCUUGGCAUGUUAACACAAAUGACAGUACCUUCAAGUUUAAAUCUGAGAGUGAUAUUAAUUUGGCAGAACAUCAUAAACGGGUUUUGUAUGAUGGGAAACUUGCAAGUAGCAUUACCUUUACAUACACUGCUAAGGCUACUGAUGCUCAACUCUGCCUGGAAUCAUCGCCAAAAGAGAAUGCAUCAAUUUUUGUGCAUUCCCAACAUGCUCUAAUGCUUCAGAUUCAAGUGCUUUUUCCACUGUUUCCCCAAUUGGAUAAUC
rnacentral:lncRNA from 1 species